rnacentral:lncRNA from 1 species
AAAGGCAACAGUAGUAUACCGCUGUUCAAACUCAUAAAUCCAUGGACAAAAAAAACAAAAUCGGGGUAACAAACUAAAACUGACGGAAACGCAUAAAUAUAAGAGGAGAACAACGACACAACACUACAAUGUAACUAACACACACAGAAACAGACCAAGCAUCAGACAAAAUCCCACGAGAAUAACAAAUAUAACAUCAAAACCAAAUACAUGAAUUUGGGAUAGGCAAGUACCGUGCCACGUCUUAUCGCAAUGUCAAUUUACACUCAAAAAUAAGAGAAAACAAACGACGCAACGUUAAAUUGUAACACACACAGAAACGAACUAUAAUAUAACAAUGGCC